GCUUACGGCCAUACCAGCCUGAAUGCGCCCGAUCUCGUCAGUUCUCGGAAGCUAAGCAGGGUCGGGCCUGGUUAGUACUUGGACGGGAGACUGCCUGGGAAUACCCGGUGCUGUAAGAA
ensembl:rRNA 5S_rRNA 5S ribosomal RNA